GACGAACGCUAGCGGGAGGCUUAACACAUGCAAGUCGAGCGGUAUGGAUAGCUUGCUAUCCAGAGAGCGGCGUACGGGUGCGUAACACGUGUGUAACCUACCUUUAUCUGGGGGAUAGCCUUUCGAAAGGAAGUUUAAUACCCCAUAAUUUAAUGCUUGGCAUCCAUUAUUAUUGAAAACUCCGGUGGAUGGAGAUGGGCACGCGCCAGAUUAGCUAGUUGGUGAGGUAACGGCUCACCAAGCCAAUGAUCUUUAGGGGUCCUGAGGGGGAGAUCCCCCACAGGGGGACUGGAAAACGGGGCACACGGCUACGGGCGGCAGCAGUGAGGAAGAAUGGACGAGGGGUGAUAGCCUAAUGCAGCCAACCCGCAUGAAGGAUGACGGUCCUAUGGAUUGUGAACUUCGUUUGUACAGGGAUAAACCUACGCUCGUAAGGGUAGGUGACGGUACUGGACGAAUAAGCACCGGCUAACUCCGUG
rnacentral:rRNA from 1 species